AUUAUAUAUUAUAGAAAAAAUAUCAAUGGCUUUAAAAAAAAACCGUCGAUGGAUACUGCUAAAGAAAUCAACCAACGUCAAAGAAGUAAAAUUCUAGGUCGUCUUUAGGAAACUGAAGCGAAAUUGAAUAGACACGCCUGAAUGUUGGGACUAUUCUAAGAAGAACGAAGCAUAGAAAUUAUUGAAAAGCAGCUGUAUAAUGUUAACUCAUAUUAAUAGCCGCGGAAUGGAAAGAUAAGGUUGUCUUUAUUGAGCAGACUACAGCGGUAAAAUGACAAUGGGCUUAGCGAGAACACGACUGGCAAAAGAUAGCUGCUCACCUAUUAUUAAUGCCAACCUGAAAAUGGAAUAUGGACCGAGCCAUGGAAUAAUGGAGAUGUCGAAACUCUAUACAGUGUAAAGGGCGGUAUAAUACACUUAACAGUAUUCAAUUGUGUAUCGCUGACAGGUCAUUGCUUGUGCAUAUAAUGCAACAUGCAUGCUUUCGAUAAAGUGCCCUAAACAGAAAAAGUUCGUAAAUGAACGGUUUAAAAUGAUUUUUCAAUUCAGGUUUUUAUUCAGCGUAGUUCAUCGGGAGAUAUGGGUGUGAAUUCACAUUUGGAUUGAUAAUUAGUUCACAUAAAUGGCAUUAUUUUUCUCUGCUCGAUCGUAACAAGCAUUUUAUAAUUGAACGUAAAAUAUUUUGAAUGGGAACUUGAAGUGAAUGAAAUUACAAAAGAAACGUUGUCGGAAAUUUCUUACUCGUCAUUAAAGUAUUGCUGGCAGCGACAAGAAAAGGUUUUUUCACAGUUUUCGUAUUCACACAAUCGUCAGUUGGAUGGUUUCACAUUUAAAAAAAUCUCUUUUUUUCUAGCAAAUCUUUUAUUUUUUAUGUGCCUAAGUUCAAACAGCCCCUGUUGUUUUCCAGAAACGCUAUCAAUUUAAAUCAUCUAAGUGAUUUUUUGACAAAUAAAUGUUUCUUGAAUAUAAAAACAUGUAGGCCGAAAUUGUAUAACAAAGCAAAAAUGACAUUGCUCAAGAAAAUCAGACCUUCAAUUUAAUCAAUGCUCCAAAUAUCUUGAACAAAUUAAAAAGCAGCUGUAGAAAAAACUGGGAAGCAAAUUUUGGAUACUACGGGUCCUUCUGUUCUGUUUUUAGCCCCAAUCUGAAUAAAAGGUUACAAUUUAACUUAAAGUACUCUAGAUAAUUAGUAAUAAGAAAAGAAACAGCUACUAUUAAUAAGUAAA